rnacentral:rRNA from 1 species
UUCGCCUUCAUGAAGCCGGAAUUGCUAGUAAUGGCAGGUCAGCAUACUGCCGUGAAUACGUUCCCGGGCCUUGUACACACCGCCCGUCACACCAUGAGAGUUGGGAAUACCCGAAGCCUGUGAGCUAACGAAAGAGGCAGCAGUCGAAGGUAGAAUCAAUGAUUGGGGUGAAGUCGUAACAAGGUACC